rnacentral:rRNA from 1 species
CCCUUAGAUGUUCUGGGCCGCACACGCGCUACACUGAAGGAGGCAGCGUGUACUCCUGGAUCGAAAGAUUUGGGUAACCCGCGAAUCUCCUUCGUGCUAGGGAUUGAGGUUUGCAAUUAUCCUUCAUGAACGAGGAAUUCCCAGUAAGUGCAAGUCAUAAGCUUGCGCUGACUCCGUCCCUGCCCUUUGUACACACCGCCCGUCGCUACUACCGAUUGAAUGAUUUAGUGAGGACUUCGGACUGGGACCGAUGCGGCUUUCGGGCUGCGUCGGUAUUCUGGAAAGAUGUCCAAACUGUAUCAUUUAGAGGAAGUAAAAGUCGUAACA